rnacentral:rRNA from 1 species
CCUACGGGUGGCAGCAGUGAGGAAUAUUGGUCAAUGGGCGGGAGCCUGAACCAGCCAAGUAGCGUGAAGGAUGACAGCCCUAUGGGUUUUAAACUUCUUUUAUAAGGGAAUAAAGUGCCCCACGUGUGCGGUUUUGUAUGUACCUUAUGAAUAAGCAUCGGCUAAUUCCGUGCCAGCAGCCGCGGUAAUACGGAAGAUUCGAGCGUUAUCCGGAUUUAUUGGGGUAAAAGGGGGCGUAGGGGGUUCGAUAAGUCCGCGGUAAAAUCGUGGGGCUCAACCGUACCGUGCAGUUGAAACUGGGGGACUGGAGUAUGCGCGAGGUAGGUGGAAUUCGUGGUGUAGCGGUGAAAUGCUUAGAUAUCACGAAGAACUCCGAUCGCGAAGGCAGUGUACCGGAGCGAGACUGACGCUGAGGCUCGAAAGUGCGGGUAGCAAACAGGAUUAGAUACCCGGGUAGUC